GUUCCAUUGUUUCCGAGGGACUAAGUCGGAUCAAAAUGGAGUUGUUCUUAAGGAACCAUGAUAAUUCUGGCUUAACACACUGAUGUCUAGGCCACCCACGGGUCCAGGCACAAUACGGACAAAAUAAAUGUUUGGGAGAGGAAAAAUCAUUACAAAAUGAUGGCGCCUGCCAGGCAGCCCUGAGAGCGUGAAGCAGUCAUGUCAACACAGAGACAGCAACAGUUGCUCACGGGUGGAAGCUUGGGCUCAUAUGGAAAGUCCCUGACUCACUUCCAAAGGGCACAGAUACUAUGUACUUCCUUCGCUGAACCUGCUGGAUCUCAAGAUUAUGAAAUAUUACAGAAAGAAAGAAAAAAUUCUGGGAAUCAAGUAGUUCACCAAUACAUCUCACAGAAACAAAAUGAACAAUUGCUCAAUGGAAUAAAAGAGUCAAAAAUCUCAUAAUAAAGAAUAAACCUUUUGGCAAUUAAAACUUA